CACGUUCUUAAGGCACAGUUAUUGAGGCAGCUGCACAACUACAUAUUUGUGUCCUUAAGAACCUCUGAAUUUUAUAAUAAGACAGUUGUUCCGGGCGUAUGUAUUAGAGCGACCAAGGUUACUUCUUUGAAAAGGCCGUCAGCACAAAAGUGCUGACCAGUCUAUAGCAACAGAAGUAACAAAAAUUCUACUGAAGCAUAAGAAAUCGCUUCAAAAUAUCGUAAGAUGACGUCCAUGACACACCACAAGUUUGUCAAAACACUAGUAAACCAAUUCAAGCGCGAUUUUCGUGUGUCGAUAACGCGCCCACCUACGCGCCUGUCUUUUGUGGACAAUAGAUUAGGAAAACAUCUGAUGGCAGCCGACAAACAAAGUUUUAUUGUCAAACAUGCACCAACCAGCCCGCAAUGCAUAUUGGGAAGUGUAUCAUAUUGUGUAAAAUUAUAAACAAUAAAAUAUUAACUUUUUUUAACAAAUUAA
rnacentral:lncRNA from 1 species